UUUGGUGACCAAGUAACAUUAAAUUCUAAGUAUAAUUAUACUUUUUGAUCACUUCAUCAAUGAAUAUUAAGUACUGUUAAAAAUGGUAAAGAAUUAAUUAUUUGUAAAAGAUACUAAAGUGUAAAGUAGAUGAGAUUAGCAUAUUUAAUACAGGGAACAUUUGUAUAGCAUCACGAUCGACUCUGCAAGUUUCAGAUAUAUAGCUAUACAAUGCUAAAACAUUAAAUAGUAGUUGCUAAUCAAUUCUUAAAUUGAUAGCACUGUCACUAAUAAACAGUUUAAAAACAAAAUGUUCUCUGUAAUAAUUUUUUUUUCUUUCUAAUCAAUAUUACAGUUGCGAAUACUUCCACAUCAGCUAAGGACUAACAGAUGAUCCCACAAUGACACGUUCUGAUCUAAGAAGUACACUUAAUAUUAGAUUAUGACAGUGAAAUUUGUAGUCUCUGUGCAUCUAUGGAGAAACCUGAAUUGGAAACGGAGUGGGAGAGUACACGUGGUUAUGAGACAACUUUCAGUAGAUUCAAUUAUACUUCAAGCUUGAUGCUGUUAUGUUUUCUGUUUCCAACUGUGACAGAACCUGGAACAGAAAUGAAGUGUGUGACAAUAAUUCAUCGACAAAUUUAGACUAAUACUCUUUCAUGGAUGCUACAUUUGGUAGAUCUAGCCAUAAUUUUUUUAUUAUAAUUCAAAGUGGUAUAUAGUUAUAUUUAUAAUAAUUCAUUGUUUGAAUUUGUUUUUAUAAAGCACUUUAUUGAACCAAAAUAAUCAUAGCUGCAUUUAGUAAAUUAUUUAGCACACAUGUGUGACUGCUGUCUCAUGCCUUAAGUGUUUCAGCUGCUAAAAUAUGUUUUGGGGAUAUUAUUUCUGGAUAGAAAUUUACCUUUCUGAUAUUGUACGAGUGUUUGGACAUUCCUUUCAAAGGUGAAAUAUGGCUACUUACAUUGCUUUGUUUUUAAUAAUGAUAUUGAAGGUGUAAAGUAUGUAAAUAUUUAUGUAAGAAAUUGAUUAAACAUAUUGGUCAAUUAUUGUCAUUCGUCAUGUGAUAAGUUUUUACUGGUUUGAGUUAAAAGACUAGUACAUAUGAUAAUUUUUAUUGCAUCUUUUAUUGAAAUCUUCAAGUAUUCAAUAUUAUUAUGAGUCUAGGUAAAUAUAUAUAUAUAUAUAUAUAUAUAUAUAUAUAUAUAUAUAUAUAUAUAUAUAUUUUAAAUAUUUUGAAACAAGAAGCUUAUUUUUUAUGUAACGUGUAUCCACUUUCCAUCUGCGAUCUAAACCUUUAUGUUUUCCUUUUUAUUAUUGGUCUAGAUGUACAUUAUUGUAUAAGCGUAAAUAAAUGUGAACUGAAAAUGUUAUUCUGAUGUAACAUUUGCAUCAAUUAUUAUGUCAUUAAAUUACGUAUUCCAAGAUUUCUGUGUGUUUUUGUCAUUUUGGAGCGGUUUCGAACCUACCCCAAGAAUACAUAUGUUAUCAGAAAUAAUAGUAACCCUUUAUAUUUUCACUUGAAAUUUUCAGAGAUGCAACAUUGAUAACUGCUUGUAACAUCUAUAAGCUUACAACAGAAAUUUCUCUGUUAUUUUUUGGUUUACAAAAGUGGACGUAAAUGACAAUUAAAAUCGUCAUGUCGGCCAUGUUUGGUCACAGAAGUACAAGGCUACUACGACUUUAUUUUGCUUCAUUUGGAUAAUAUAGUGAUGUUUUUUCAAUAAGAGCAACAUAUUUAAUGAAACUAUGACCAUAA
rnacentral:lncRNA from 1 species